GAAACUUCUUCCUCAGGUUAGCGAUCUGGUGCUAGUGUACAGUAUGGAUCAGCAGCUCUUUUCUUCUCUCUGAGACAUCAGGUGCCUCCUGAUAUUACAGCAGAGCAGGUCCUUGGUCCUAAGGAUGAUGAAGCUGUUGGUGAGGAAGGAGAGGGGGAAAGGGCAUAUCUUCACCCUCAGCUGCCAGCAGGUGAUGGACUAGGAACCCGAGCCCAGGACCACCCCCUUCUCCUAUCCCAUCAGCCAGGUCUUCCGCUCAUAUUUAUACUCCACUUGCAUCAUUGUCAGAAUUCAGGCACCGGCCACACUGAGAGGCACAGAGAUAAAUGUGGUUACACUACACAGAAGGAAGGUGGAGGAAUUGUGCCAUACCAAAAAGCCAGGUCCUGGAAUGAAGAUCCAUAAAUAUUUUGUUGUAUUUUAGUGACAAUCUAACCAAAAUAAAUUCAUUCAUUUCAGCUUGACUUU
rnacentral:lncRNA from 1 species